rnacentral:rRNA from 1 species
AUUUUAACCGUGCUAAGGUAGCGCAAUCACUUGUCUUUUAAAUGAAGACCUGUAUGAAAGGUAUAACGAGGGCUUAACUGUCUCCUUUUUCCAGUCAAUGAAAUUGAUCUCCCCGUGCAGAAGCGGGGAUUUUUACAUAAGACGAGAAGACCCUGUGGAGCUUUAGACCCCGGGAUAGUUCAUGUUAAAAGACCACGCCCAAGGAAACAACUAAAUGAACCCUAUCCCUGUGUCUUCGGUUGGGGUGACCAUGGGGUAAACAUAACCCCCAUGUAGACAGGGAGCACUAGAAGGACACCACCACGGACCAACGACCCUCCUCCUCAAAAUCAGAGCCCCCGCUCUAGUUAACGAAAGCUUCGACUUAAAAUGAUCCGGGUUAAACCGAUCAACGAACCAAGUUACCCCAGGGAUAACAGCGCCAUCCCCUUCAAAAGCCCAUAUCACCAAGGGGGUUUACGACCUCGAUGUUGGAUCAGGACAUCCUAAUGGUGCAGCCGCUAUUAAGGGUUCGUUUGUUCAACGAUUAAAGUCCUACGUGAUC